GACACGUGUCCUCUGCAGGAGCCGGGGGCGGGGUGGGGGGCACCCCUAGGGGAAAGCCGGGGAAGAACCCCCUCUCCGCUCCGAACGAAGCUGCGGCACCGCCCGUGCCUUCCUGUUCCGCCAAGAGUCCGGCGCCGUCGAAUAGGCUGCCUCCGGCGACGCCUGCGUUCCGCCAGCCGUGGACAUCCGCUCGCGGUGCCCUGCCUGCGGCCACCGGACUCCGGCGUCGGGCUGCGAGUCCCCGCCUACCUCCCCUAGCCGCCACGCUCGCCACGCUGCUCCGAGCUCCGCCCAGCAAAGCCGAGGCCCCGCCCCUUGCUGCACCCUUCCGGUUGCCGGUGCCGGCUUUGUCAGUCCUGCCAGCCCCGAAGGUUCCCCAGACGCAAGAUGUGCGGCCUUGGUGGAGUUCCUACGCUCCUUCAUGCCAUCCUCACAGAAGCCCUGGUGGGCACUGACCCGCCCUUGGAUUUACCUUUGUUCCAGCUCCGGGACUGAGCCUGUUUGUCUCCUCUGGGGAAUUGUUAACGACCUAGGCCCCGUGAAUCCUUUCCGUCCAAAACCGGCCUCGCAGGAGCCAUUUAACCCCCAGGACUGCUGGGUCUCAAAGUGCUGCCCGGCUUACCCACCCUCAAAUGGGGUGAAUCUGGAAUUCACAUCCAGGUCUGAAAACCAAAAGACGUUUCCUCUGCUUUUCAGCCUCCAGAAUUCGCUGCAUUCCUUUUCUCUGGCCUCUCCCACAAGAUGUAGCAAGAUCCUCCUUUGAAAAAGCGCCUGGCAAAGAAAGUAAUGGGGGAAGCCAGAGGGGAAAUUGACCUAACUGCAGGAAGGAAGGGAGUAAAUUCCCAGCCCCUCUCCCAAUUCACAAUCCCAUUAGAGAAAACCCCAGUUUGGCCUCAUGGUCACAUGGAAGUCUAAACACAGCCAGGCGGGGCUGGACUGUGGAUUCAGAGAAGAGGCGGUCCGUGACUUUGGACUGUAUCUAUGACUUUGGGAGGAAGAGCAGUACUGGACUCCCAGACACAACAUGGCUUCCCGGGUAAAGCAAUGAGUGCUGGCUGCUCCCAGGAGUCCACAUCAAACCUCUGGGUGCUAUGAAGACCGGCCUGGUCCAGACACAUGGAAAAGUGUUUUAGACCCUUAUGUCCUCAGACAAGACCCUUAGUGCCCCCCAGGACCUCAUGGGACCCAGGAACUCACAUGACUGUUGGAGCUCAGGCCCAGAAAGGCAGUACUGGAAGCAGGAGGAGGCUAGAGACCUGGGAACCCUCCUUCAUUCCACCUCUUCUUCAUUGUGGCCCCUUAGACAAGGCCCACUCCUUGGCCUCAAGGAUUGCUUGUUAGAUGAAAACAAGAAAUUUGCUUUCUGAA